rnacentral:rRNA from 1 species
UGAGGUAACGGCUCACCAAGCCUACGACGGGUAGCCGGCCUGAGAGGGUGACCGGCCACACUGGGACUGAGACACGGCCCAGACUCCUACGGGAGGCAGCAGUGGGGAAUAUUGCACAAUGGGCGAAAGCCUGAUGCAGCAACGCCGCGUGAGGGACGACGGCCUUCGGGUUGUAAACCUCUUUUAGUAGGGAAGAAGCGAAAGUGACGGUACCUGCAGAAAAAGCACCGGCUAACUACGUGCCAGCAGCCGCGGUAAUACGUAGGGUGCGAGCGUUGUCCGGAAUUAUUGGGCGUAAAGAGCUCGUAGGCGGUCUGUCGCGUCUGCUGUGAAAACCCGAGGCUCAACCUCGGGCCUGCAGUGGGUACGGGCAGACUAGAGUGCGGUAGGGGAGAAUGGAAUUCCUGGUGUAGCGGUGGAAUGCGCAGAUAUCAGGAGGAACACCGAUGGCGAAGGCAGUUCUCUGGGCCGUAACUGACGCUGAGGAGCGAAAGCGUGGGGAGCGAACAGGAUUAGAUACCCUGGUAGUCCACGCCGUAAACGUUGGGCGCUAGAUG